UAAUGUCCAUCGGUGACGUUGGCAGCGCGGAAUAUUCGAACCCGUUGAAACCUGACUGCUGGGAUCCACCUCGUACACCAAGCGGAAUUCGACACGUCAUGCCUUCUCAUAAUUACAUCCUCCUCCUUAAAACUCGAUUCACUCCUCGGGCGUCAUCGUCGCCGUCGCCGAGAAGUGAGAACCCCUUUCCGGCUUUCUUGGUCCCUUCCCCCGCGAUGGCCAUGGCCCCGUUGGAGAGAAACCCUAGGGCUCCAGAUCCCCUUCGUCUGACUCCUCUUCUCGCCGGCGUGCUUUCUUCGUCAGGGAUCGGGAUCUCCGACGCACCGCGAGGCCAGGAAUCAAAGGAUUUCCCCCACAAGAAGCUGCCCUAAUCUCUUCCAGCUCGGGGCACAGCGAUUCCUCGUUCUUUCCUCUUGAAUUCGAAUCAAUCUUCUCCCUCCCAGCGAUGGUAUCUGCUCGGUUCUGUAUCAGUGUAAAUUACAAAAAUUUCCAUAAGAUUUAUGUUUAUCAUACUUAGACUCAAUAUCUUGUAAGAUCUACACUAAUAUUAUCAAUAUUAGUGAAACUGUUUACCUAAUAUAAAAAAUCAAAAUGGCCUCUAUAUAGAAGGUUUUGGAUCCAGGCCAGUGAAGCCCAAUUCACUUGGACUUUCCUAAUUCUCGGUUCUCUUGGAAGUCUUGUGUCUUCGAGAGCCCUCCUCCUCCAAUGAUAAGGAGGAAAAAAAUCAUCUGCGGUGUUGGCAUCAACCAUCUGGAGACGGAGCAUCCUUGGGAUGAGGGCACAUCGGGCAGCUAGGUGGAGCGGAAUCCCUCUCUCAUCCUCCUCACCGGGAAGCAUCCUUUCAGCUGCGAGCCCAUACUGACCUGGCUUAUGCACCAUGGCUUGGCUUCAUCAUCCUCCGUCACGCCGACCGGCGCACCUGGACGGUCGAGAUCACUGGCCUUAUCAUGCAGCCCACCCAGCUCAUCAUGGACGAGUUGGUCCGUGAGCUCGAGACGCCUGUGACCUUGGUGUACGUGCGUCGUUUGAUACCCCGCGCAAGGAGCAGAGCAUGGUCCGGCAAUCUUAACUGGGGCCCCACCACCGUGUGGGCAACUAGGAUCUUGAGAAGUGUGUUUGGAAUUCAUGGGAUACGCACCGCUAAACUGCGAUGAUUCCAUGCGUUCGCAAUUCAUGGGCACAGGUGAUGUGCGUUUGGUUUACUUGACAGGAUGAGAGAGAAGUAAGGGGGCGAUUGUUUGGUGCGACCAGAGGAUGCCCGAAGCCAGCCACCAGCCACCAGCCACCAGCCACCAGCCACCAGCCACCUUUUCGGCAUCUAGGUAAGGCCCUAUUCCUUCCCUCUUCUUCUCUGACCUCUCUUCUCUCGUUCUCUCUCACCAUCACCAUCCCUUGCUUGAUCAUUUUCUGAAUUUUUUCCGAUUUGGCAUUUAGAUUUUAUUUAAAAUAAAUGAUUUGACUAAUAUUUUAUUAAAUUAUAGGUUAAAAUGUUAGAGAAAAAUAAAUCUCAAUAUGGUAAAUAUAGGCUUUAUAAACUAUUGGAUACAAAUAUAAUUUUCUACUAAUUUCGAGAAGGGUUUGGUAAUUUAUUCUAAAAAUUAAAUUUGGAACAUCAUAAGGAGCAGAAUGCCUUUCUAAUAAUUUAGUUCUACUUAUUUUCUUAAAAUUGAAAAAUCUAAGAGCCGGUUAGAUAUAGCUUUUUUUAAUGCUUUUUUUUAAAAAAAAAUCUAAAAGAUAUGAACUAGGUUGAACCAUUAAAACUUUUGCUUUUGUAAAUUGUUCAUAACAUCUUCAUGGCUGUUUGUCGCAAAGAUUUUUUGCUUUCAAAAUAAUAGAGCUUUUUUUAAAAUAUGUUUUUCUAAAAAUCUAAGAUAUGAAUUAGAUUGAACCAUAAAAAGCUUUUGCUUUUCUAAGUUAUUCAAGGCUCUUGGUUACAAAGAUUGUUUUGCUUUCAAAAAGAGAAGUAAAAAUAAAAAUAAAAAAAACAGUAGAAAUUUUGUGCAAGUGCUAUCUUCAACGUCAAUCAACAUAUGGUAUUUUAAUAAUUCAUAGAGACAAAGACACAAAAUCAAUCAAUUUUACUGCAUCUGCUUAGUUGCCGUAUCUUUUUUAGUCACCCGGCAGUAACAAAACCAGCUCUUCAAGAUUUCCUAGUAAAUGUGCUUGUAUGAGAGAGGAAUUAUCGGGACCAUGGAUAACUUCGGAUGAUCUGGACCCCAGCACACUUGCAUGAUAUUUCACGUUAAAAAGUGAUUUAUCCAUCCCCAAAAUUUCAGCGAUAGUAGCUCCCAUGGCCCACUUGAUCGUAUUUCAUUCCUCCACGAGCAAAAGCAAAAGCAAAACGACCCGGCAUCCAAAUAGGUCCAUAACUCCCAUA